CCUACGGGGGGCAGCAGUGAGGAAUAUUGGUCAAUGGCCGAAAGGCUGAACCAGCCAAGUCGCGUGAGGGAAGACUGCCCUAUGGGUUGUAAACCUCUUUUAUGCGGGGAUAAAGGUGACCACGUGUGGCUGAUUGCAGGUACCGCAAGAAUAAGGAUCGGCUAAAUCCGUGCCAGCAGCCGCGGUAAUACGGAGGGUUCGGGCGUUAUCCGGAUUUAUUGGGUUUAAAGGGUGCGUAGGCGGGUCUUUAAGUGUGCCGUGAAAUUUCGUGGCUCAACCCGGGGAGUGCGGCGCGAACUGGAGACCUGGAGUGCGCGGGAGGCAGGCGGAAUGCGUGGUGUAGCGGUGAAAUGCUUAGAUAUCACGAAGAACCCCGAUUGCGAAGGCAGCCUGCCGCAGCGUUACUGACGCUGAGGCACGAAAGCGCGGGUAUCGAACAGGAUUAGAUACCCUGGUAGUC
rnacentral:rRNA from 1 species